UACGGAGGGGGCUAGCGUUGUUCGGAAUUACUGGGCGUAAAGCGCACGUAGGCGGCUUUCUAAGUCGGGGGUGAAAUCCUGGAGCUCAACUCCAGAACUGCCUUCGAUACUGGAAGCUCGAGUCCGGGAGAGGUGAGUGGAACUGCGAGUGUAGAGGUGAAAUUCGUAGAUAUUCGCAAGAACACCAGUGGCGAAGGCGGCUCACUGGCCCGGAACUGACGCUGAGGUGCGAAAGCGUGGGGAGCAAACAGGG
rnacentral:rRNA from 1 species